UACAGAGGGGGCAAGCGUUGUUCGGAAUUACUGGGCGUAAAGGGCGCGUAGGCGGCCUGUUAAGUCGGACGUGAAAUCCCCGGGCUCAACCCGGGAACUGCGUCCGAUACUGGCAGGCUUGAAUCCGGGAGAGGGAUGUGGAAUUCCAGGUGUAGCGGUGAAGUGCGUAGAUAUCUGGAGGAACACCGGUGGCGAAGGCGGGUCUCUGGGCCAUUACUGACGCUGAGGAGCGAAAGCGUGGGGAGAGAACAGG
rnacentral:rRNA from 1 species